GCCUCUCUGAAGAGUCCAACAAUAGGACGAAACGACCAUCCAGUGAU
rfam:Schistosoma rodhaini strain Burundi genome assembly, scaffold: SROB_scaffold0000741